GCCUACGGGGGGCAGCAGUGAGGAAUAUUGGUCAAUGGGCGAGAGCCUGAACCAGCCAAGUCGCGUGAGGGAAGACGGUCCUAUGGAUUGUAAACCUCUUUUGUCGGGGAGCAAAAAGGCCUCGUGAGGCCACAAGUGAGAGUACCCGCAGAACAAGCAUCGGCUAACUCCGUGCCAGCAGCCGCGGUAAUCCGGAGGAUGCGAGCGUUAUCCGGAUUUAUUGGGUUUACAGGGCGCGUAGGAGGAUUGUUAAGUCAGUUGUGAAAGUUUGCGUCUCACCCGU
rnacentral:rRNA from 1 species